rnacentral:rRNA from 1 species
AUGGAGGACCUGACAUCCCUCGUCAACAAGCUGCAGCUGGCCAGCACCACCCUCGCCGACAACGGCGCGGGGAGCGCCCUCCCGACCGACUGGGACGAGCUACCCUUCAUCGCCUUCGUGGGAGCCCAGGGUUCCGGCAAGUCAUCAGUGCUUGAGGCUAUUGUUGGAAAGGAUUUCCUACCCAGGGGUCCAGGCAUUGCAACCCGCCGCCCUUUGAUUGUGCAUCUAUUUAAAACUGAAGAAGGAACAGAAUAUGCAAAGUUCUUGCAUCAACCCGACAAAAUGUACGAAGAUUUUGCUGAAGUCGGUACGGAGAUAGCUGAUGAUACUGACAGAGAAACCGGCUCUCCCUAUGGAAUAUCAUCUGUCCCCAUCCGUUUAAGCAUAUUUUCCCCAAAUGUUGUGAAUCUGACUCUAAUUGAUCUUCCUGGGCUUACAAAAAUUGUUGUUGACGACCAGUCAGACAGUAUAGUUCAGGAAAUUGAAAACAUGGUUCGAGCAUUCAUCGAAAAGCCCAAUUGUAUCAUUCUCGCCAUUUCUCCAGCCAACCAGGAUCUUUCAAAUUCUGAAACAGUCAAUAUUUCACGGGAAGUUGACCCAAAAGGUGAAAGAACAUUUCGUGUGCUCACUAAAAUUGAUCUGAUGGAGAACCGAGCAAGUGUUGUUGAUAUACUGGAAGAAAGAUCUUGCCGGUUCCACAUUCCAUGGGUUGGUGUUGUCAACCGAUCCCAGAAAGACAUUAACAACAACAUGGACAUGAUUUCUGCCAGGCGUAGAGAGCGUGACUAUUUUGGUAACACACCAGAAUACAAGCAUCUCGCUCAUAGAAUGGGAUCGAAACAUUUGGUCAGAAGUUUGGGUAAGGUAUGCCCCUUUCUUCUUUUAAGAUAG